UUGCGUGCUUCGCUUACGGACCUCGGAUUGACGCCACAGGAUCCAUGCAGAGACAGUGGCGACGUCAGUCCUCAUGACAGAGACAGUAGCAACUAUGAGCAGAGCAAGCAACCGGCUUGGCGUUCGGUUCUUCGCCAGCUAUCGAUUGGUUUCUUUCUCGUCUUCUGCACUUGAUAUUGUUGAAUUACACGGACACGUAUAUACAAAGACGCCUAAAUAUACAUAACUACCUUACGUACAAGCAAGCAUGCGGUUCAAGUGAGCUAAAUUAUUCAGUCUCCAACUGUCAAUUCGUGGUCGCGACACUGAAUUGUUUUUGUUAAUUUUACCAGAUGGGUGCGUGCAGUCUGUCUGUGUACAGAUUAAGGCAAAUCACUUCACACAGAUUUCGCCGAACAAAUAUAACAUCAUAGACUCAGGCGCUUGUAGGGUGCUGUUGUGUGAUGUUAUUGUCGCACCUAGGACGUCAACAAGACAGCUACUCUGUGCAAAGACCAGCUACCGCCAUGCAGGACAAGGAGAGCCAACACUGACAAAAGUAAGUCAUUUAGCUACCGCCACGAAGCUGGGGAGAGACUGUCACACAACAACGUUCUAUCCUGGACUUUGUGACGAAUGGCCCUUUCCCGUAUCGUAGAUGCAAUAUUGGAGGUCUGGCGACUAGCGCGCAGGAACCAGCUAACUCUUGGAUUGUUCUCAUCUUAGUAAAAGCAUUUAGUGACAUAAACUUUUAAAGUUAAAGUCGCUCAAUUCGUAGCGUGUAAAACAUAUCAUGUAAGAUAAUAUUAGUACUAACAAACAUAUUUGAGAGGGUGCUGCUGAUCAAAAAAUUGCAAGCUAUUAUGAUGCGUAACUUGGAGCCGACCCCCCUGAUACGUUCAGAGACGGAGGAGUCAGUCAGCAGUGUCGGCUCCGACAAAACACUAUCUGUGGCAUCUUGCGAUAGGCCAGAAAUUGUCCGAAUGAUCCGGAAAGUUGAUGUCAAGGACGAGACAGUAUCCAAAGGAACGGUAAGCCGCUGUCAGUCUGUAACGUCCUUGGCAUCUCUCCGAAAUGCUCCGUGCGGGUCCAAUCAGAUCACGAAUGGUGGAGACGGUCUGUUCAGGCGGCCGUCAAAGUUUAGCAUUGACGGACAUAACGGUUUUUGUUCAACCCGAAGUUCGCCAGAGCUGUUCGAAGAUGCCAGCGAGUUUUUUCAACGAAAUACGCCGGCUCCGCAUCGAGAAUCAGGAGCUCCGUGCAGCCGACCACCGACUGAAGGCCGAAAUCUGUGAUCUUAAGGCAAACAUUUUAGCCCUUUACGGCCAGUUGUCCAAAUGCCGUCAGCUGGCGCGAGCAUUCAACAACUGCGUAUCAUAGAAAACGCUUCUAUAACGCUCAUGCCAGCAUGCGAUAGCAUAUGAUAAACUCUAUGCGAAACGACGAUGCAAGUUAUUGCAGGUAUACAAAAAUGCCAGAUGUGUACUCGCAACGAUGAGAAAAAAACCACGAAAAUGAACGACAGAAAUCAUCUUACUUGUGAGAUAGUGAGUCGAAGUUACGGCUCGCUGCUGGCGGGAGUGUUUGUAAAUUAGACGACCGAAUCAACGCGUACUAUAAAAAUAACUCCAUGCGCUAAGUUGAAUGUUUUCUACCUUUCCUAUAUAACUUUUACUAUUUGUUAACAUAUUUGUGUCCUGUGUGUGACAGACGAAUGAUAAACACUCGAAUCAAAUCUGGUGAAUAAUAUUGAUCCUAAUGAUUCGUCUGUUAUUGUCUAGAUCUUCAUACUGUAAGAGAGCGCUCGCAAACGACCAUACGAUACGCGUGCUUUUAUUUGUUCGUAAAAUAAAAUAUACUAAAUACUGGA